GACGAACCGUGCGAACGUUAUUCGGAAUCACUGGGCUUAAAGCGCGUGUAGGCGGUUCGGCGCGUCGGACGCUGAAAUCCCCCGGCUCAACCGGGGAAGUGGCGCCGAUACGGCCGGCCUGGAGGGACGUAGGGGGGGCUGGAACUUCCGGUGGAGCGGUGAAAUGCGUUGAGAUCGGAAGGAACGCCCGUGGCGAAAGCGAGCCCCUGGACGUCUACUGACGCUGAGACGCGAAAGCCAGGGGAGCGAACGGG
rnacentral:rRNA from 1 species